rnacentral:rRNA from 1 species
AAAACAUUGCUUUUAGAUUAAAUAUUAAAAGUCCAUCCUGCCCAGUGAAAGAAUUUUCAACGGCCGCGGUACCCUAACCGUGCAAAGGUAGCAUAAUCAUUUGCCUUUUAAUUGAAGGCUAGUAUGAACGGACAAACGAAAUUCUAGCUGUAUCACCCUUAUAAACUAAAAUUUAAAUUUCAGGUGAAGAUGCCUGAAUCCCCUUGAAAGACAAGAAGACCCUAUAGAGUUUUAGUUGAUCUCUUAACCCAUAACUAAUUCAACUUUGGUUGGGGCGACCUAGGAUUACUAAAAACAUCCUUUAUUAUUAAGAAUAAAUUAUUCUUUUUAAAGACCCUAUAUUUUAGAUUCUCAAAAUGAACUACCUUAGGGAUAACAGGCUUAUCUUCCUAAAGAGUCCACAUUGACAGGAAGGUCUGGCACCUCGAUGUUGGCUUAGAGUAACCUAAUAAUGCAGAAGUUAAUUAAGGUCAGUUUGUUCAACUGUUAAAUCUCUACGUGAUC